AAGGAUCAUUAUCUAUUUGUUGGAUGUGGUCGCGGCCCCCGUAUUCCGGGUGGUAGGGGUAACACCCUCACGCGCCACAUGCACUAAUCCUCUUUUUACGAGCACCUUCUGUUCUCCUUCGGCGGGGCAACCUGCCGUUGGAACCAACAAAACCUUUUGAAUUCAGUAUUACCUGUUCUGAUACAAACAAUCGUAACAACUUUCAACAAUGGAUCUCUUGGUUCUGGCAUCGAUGAAGAACGCAGCGAAAUGCGAUAAGUAAUGUGAAUUGCAGAAUUCAGUGAAUCAUCGAAUCUUUGAACGCACAUUGCGCCCUUUGGUAUUCCGAGGGGCAUGCCUGUUCGAGCGUCAUUUAAAAACAUCAAGCACGGCUUGGUCUUGGGCGGGGUCUCCGGACCCGCCUGUAACCGGUUGGCGGCACCGCCUGGCUUUAAGCGUAGCAAGUCUUACCCUCGCUUCGGAGCCCGUGUGGGGACCGGCCCUAGGUACCUCUAAAGUUUGACCUCGGAUCAGGUAGGGAUACCCGCUGAACUUAAG
rnacentral:rRNA from 1 species